UACGAAGGGAGCUAGCGUUGUUCGGAAUCACUGGGCGUAAAGCGCACGUAGGCGGAUGUGUCAGUCAGGGGUGAAAUCCACUGGCUUAACUGGUGGCUUGCUUUCGAUACGGGCAGACUGGAGGUAUGCAGGGGAGAACGGAAUUCCUGGUGUAGCGGUGAAAUGCGCAGAUAUCAGGAAGAACACCCGUGGCGAAGGCGGUUCUCUGGAACGCAACUGACGCUGAGACGCGAAAGCGUGGGGAGCAAACAGG
rnacentral:rRNA from 1 species